UGGGGAAUAUUGCACAAUGGGCGCAAGCCUGAUGCAGCCAUGCCGCGUGUGUGAAGAAGGCCUUCGGGUUGUAAAGCACUUUCAGCGAGGAGGAAGGGUAGUGUGUUAAUAGCACAUUGCAUUGACGUUACUCGCAGAAGAAGCACCGGCUAACUCCGUGCCAGCAGCCGCGGUAAUACGGAGGGUGCAAGCGUUAAUCGGAAUUACUGGGCGUAAAGCGCACGCAGGCGGUUUGUUAAGUCAGAUGUGAAAUCCCCGCGCUUAACGUGGGAACUGCAUUUGAAACUGGCAAGCUAGAGUCUUGUAGAGGGGGGUAGAAUUCCAGGUGUAGCGGUGAAAUGCGUAGAGAUCUGGAGGAAUACCGGUGGCGAAGGCGGCCCCCCUGGACAAAGACUGACGCUCAGGUGCGAAAGCGUGGGGA
rnacentral:rRNA from 1 species